GGGAGGGGACGGGGUCCCGCCGCUUCCCCGGCGGGCGGCGUGAUGACCGCUCGGGCGCCGCUAUUUAUUGAGCGCCUGCUACGGGCGGAGCGGGGGACCGGUGGAGCGCUCACGCCCAAGGACCAAAGGCCUGGUGUUUAUUGAGCGCUCCCGCCGGCUCGCCAGCGUGCUACUUGCUGAGCGCUCACGCCGGAUCGCCAGCGUGGUAUUUAUUGAGCGCUCACGCCGGAAGGCCCACGAGCGUGGUAUUUAUUGGACGCUCACGCCGGAUCGCGAGCGUGGUAUUUAUUGAGCGCUCCCGCCGGCUCGCCAGCGUGCUACUCGCUGAGCGCUCACGCCGGAUCGCGAGCGUGGUAUUUAUUGAGCGCUCACGCCGGAUCGCCAGCGUGCUACUCGCUGAGCGCUCACGCCGGAUCGCGAGCGUGGUAUUUAUUGAGCGCUCACGCCGGAUCGCCAGCGUGCUACUCGCUGAGUGCUCACGCCGGAUCGCGAGCGUGGUAUUUAUUGAGCGCUCACGCCGGAAGGCCCACGAGCGUGGUAUUUAUUGGACGCUCACGCCGGAUCGCCAGCGUGGUAUUUAUUGAGCGCUCACGCCGGAUCGCCAGCGUGCUACUCGCUGAGCGCUCACGCCGGAUCGCGAGCGUGGUAUUUAUUGAGCGCUCACGCCGGAUCGCCAGCGUGGUACUCGCUGAGCGCUCACGCCGGAUCGCGAGCGUGGUAUUUAUUGAGCGCUCACGCCGGAAGGCCCACGAGCGUGGUAUUUAUUGGACGCUCACGCCGGAUCGCCAGCGUGGUAUUUAUUGAGCGCUCACGCCGGAUCGCCAGCGUGCUACUCGCUGAGCGCUCACGCCGGAUCGCGAGCGUGGUAUUUAUUGAGCGCUCACGCCGGAUCGCGAGCGUGGCACUCGUGGAGCGCUCACGCCGGAUCGCGAGCGUGCUACUCGCUGAGCGCUCACGCCGGAUCGCGAGCGUGGUACUCGCGGAGCGCUCACGCCGGAUCGCGAGCGUGCUACUCGCUGAGCGCUCACGCCGGAUCGCGAGCGUGGUAUUUAUUGAGCGCUCACGCCGGAAGGCCCACGAGCGUGGUAUUUAUCGGACGCUCCCGCCGGAUCGCGAGCGUGGCGCUUGCCGGGCGCUCACGCCGGAAGGACCACGAGCGUGGCGUUUAUCGAGCGCUCACGCCGGAUCACGGGCGUGGUAUCUAUCGAGCGCUCACGCCGGAGGGAUCCCGAGCGUGGCCGUAGCUCACUGUGGACAGGGGACGUGCCCACCAACUCCGUGAUAUGUUACUCUCCCAAGCACUCAGUACAGUGCUCUGCACACAAUCUGCACCCUUGACUGCGUGUGUGGCGGCGGAACAGCUCAUCAGAAAAGAGUGGCCCCGGAUGCCCCGGCCGAAAGGGAAUGAAGCUGAAAGAACGAAACAAAACAAACAGACCCUAAGAAGAAAUUGGAGUCGCCGCCUUCUGCACAGAUUCCUCGUCGUCGGUGGUGGUUAGCCUGCAGGUUUGCACCGAGGACACCUGCUUAGUUCCGUCCCUUAAAUGGACUUGGGCGGGAGCUCGGGAAAUGAUGAGCUUUGGCUAGGUGUGGUCCUUCUGUCCCACGCGGGCUGACGUACGGGGAGAUGCCUGGAUAACGUCGCUAUAAAAGAGGGUCUUAAUGCUUGCUGGCUCGGAAACCCGAAGGAGAUAACAUGUUAAGAACUUUGUUCUGGGGAGCCGUUUUGCUUCCGGGAUUUGCGGAUCAAAGAAAUGGUUUAGACGGGUGCUUUAUCCCGUUCCUCGUUGCUCACUUUUCAUUGGUUUGCCAAUCGUUUCCGUUUUUCACGGAGAACUGCAUUAACGAAGUAGAAAAUAGUUAAUUACCUAACGCAUUAUUCUCUGAAAAUGAUUACGUUGUUUAAAUUCUACUUGUAGUAACCUAGCAAAGCAAUACACCACAAGCUGACCUCAUUCAAUUAAAAAGUAGGCAAGCCAAGCCUUUUCAGGGUCCCGCCUUUGUACUGUUUUCCCCAGGGAGUGGAGAAAACAAGCUCUUGAAGAAACUGUGAGGAACAAGGGCCUCAGCAGAAUGUUAAACACCACGUCCCAUUCAAAUCUGAGACAGACUCUGUUUGACAAAACUCACUCCACCCAAAUGCUGAAGCUUGAGCUCCAAACCUCCUCUACCCCUCAGCAACAAAUGAUGCAGUGAAUUUGCAAAUUGUGUCCUUACGGCAUGAAGGGAAAUAGAAGAAGCUAGGUUGAAAGCUGGGCAGACGAGCCUGUUGGAGGGCUAGGAAAGGAAGUAGCGGUUACGGUCAGCCUGAAACUUCACCCAAAGUCAACGAGAAGGCAGUCUGGGGACAUCGCCGUCCCUCUAGGCUGUAAACCGGUUGUGGGCGGGGAACGCGUCGACUAAUUCUGCUGUACUGUACUCUCCCGAGUGCUCGUUACAGUGUUCUGUACCCAGUAAGCGCUCGGUAAAUACCGCCGAUUGAUCAUCGUCGAUGAGAUUUAUUUAUUCGUCCAUUCAGUUGCAUUUAUUGCCCACGGUGGGCGCUCAGUCAGCACGACCGAAUGAAGGAAUUUAUUGAGCGCUUACUGUGUGCAGAGCACUGCCUACCUACUUGGAAGGGUCGGUAGACACAUUCCCAGCCCGUUAACGAGCUCAGAGUCUAGAGACAUCGAGAGGAUUUAUCGGACUCGGUCUGAAAAUUCAGAAGGAGGGAAGGUCAUUUUUCAGGCUUGACUGUGGAGCGGGGAACGAAGGUGUUUGUAAAUGAAAUCGCAACUCGAGAUUUUUGCCGAGUAAAGCGCCAUCUCAUUGGUGGGCAGGAGUCCCGGGUUCUGGCAUCAACCUUGCAUCGACCCUGCUACCCCUCAGCUUCCCUAGACGUCCUUUGCCCCCUAUCUAAAAUGGACAUUAUUUUACCUGUCUCUACAGGAAUGCUGUGAGGAUCAAUGAAGUAUUCUAUUAAAAAAAUGACAAACGCUCUU